UUUUAGUGAUUUUUCAAAUCUACAUCACUACUGCUGCCAGCAUCUGCCUUUAAGGUAAACUUUACCUAUUUCAUAGUUUCCAUGAUUCAACUAGCCCUUUUAGCAUAAAUAGCACAAAUUAUGAUAGUGAUUAACCAUUCCAUACCAAAUGAUUAUAACAUUAUGCUCAAACAUAUAUAAGCCAUUUUCGCAUGGCUAUAUACAUUAACCAAAAUAUUCUUCCGCCACUAGUCUAUUUUAUACAUGCUAUAAGAUAAUCCAAAACAUAGCAGUACCAAACAGUGGAUAGUGAUAGUGUGACUAGUUGCUGACGAUCCCCGAGCCUGUAGCUUCGCAAUGAGAUCUAUAAAACAGAGGAAACAGAGUAAACGGAGUAAGCAUUACAAUGCUUAGUAAGUUUUAAGCAGUGUCAACAGAUAACAAUCAAAUUAUAACAUAGUUGUUCGUAUUUUUAUUUCACUCUUCCUUCGGGCAUACCAUCCCUUUACCGAAUAUGCACAUCUCAUCAUAUACAAUAGGCAGAUAAACUUUCACAUAAAAGUGAGCUCAUGUGACAUAGAUAUAUCGUAUGAUUUCACAUCACCUCUCACACUGAUCCGAUGUCACAUAAUCAUAGGAAUAGUCUCAUAGAUUGCUCUCGUAUGCAUCACAUAACUACCUUAUGAUUUAGUGCAAAUCAAGCUCACAUAUAAACUUGGAGUACAUACCUGUUUAACCUUUCGCAUUGAAUAUAUUUAUAAGCAAUUCUUAUUACGAAGUCUUACCCGGACAUAAUCUCCACACGAAGUUAUCGAGUCUUACCCGGACAAAAUUUCCACACGUAGUCAGCGGGUCUUUAGAGCUCGGAUAUAGUACGAGCACGAAGCUUACGGACAUUAAUCAGUGAUAAUAUUCUCGCAUAAAGCCUGCGGGGUUUUAACCCGGAUAUAGUACUGACACAAAUGCCCUUCGGGACUUAUCACAUUUAUGCACUUUUACAUCCAUCACGUUGGCCACUCGGCCCUAUCACAUAUAUACACUUUCACAUUCAUCACAUCGGUCAUUAGGCCUUAUUACAUAUAUACACUUUCACAUUCAUCACAUCGGCUAUUAGACCUUAUCACAUAUAUACACUUUCACAUUCAUCACAUCGACUAUUAGGCCUUAUCACACAUAUACACUUUCACAUUCAUCACAUCGGCUAUUAGGCCUUAUCAUACAUAUACACUUUCACAUUCAUCACAUCGGCUAUUAGGCCUUAUCAUACAUAUACACUUUCACAUUCAUCACAUCGGCCAUUAGGCCUUAUCACAUAUAUAUACACUUUCACAUUUAUUACAUCGGCCAUUAGGCCUUAUCACAUAUAUAUAUUUUCACAUUCAUCACAUCGGCUAUUAGGCCUUAUCACACAUAUACAUUUUCACAUUCAUCACAUCAGCCAUUAGGCCUUAUCACAUAUAUACACUUUCUUGGCUGAAUCUACAUCUAUCAUUUUCCAAUAUCACAAUUUAGAAUUUACGUAUGGGUUUAAUCGAUAGCUUAUGAGCAACUAGAACAAGUUUAUCAAGGUUUACAACACAAUCUCAAAUUCAGCACAAGCUGUUUUUCCUGAGCAAUAGUCACUAAAUCAUUUAUAACUGGAGCUACAAAACUCCAAAUCACUUUCCGUUAAUUUUUCCUGAAUAUAGACUCGUAUAUCUUCCAUCCAUGAAAUUUCCAGAAUUUUAGGUUUGGCCAAUCAAUACCAGAUUUUUCUUAAAGUUUCCCCUGUUUCACUGUUUGACUAAUCUGACCACUCUUCACUACGAAUCAGAUUUCUCAUUUUACAGAAUUCAAAGUGUGUUGUAUUUGAUUUCAUUUGAAACUAGACUCAUUAAGGAGUCUAAGCAUAUAAAUUUUAUCUUAUAACCAUUUUUGUACAAUUUAUAAUGAUUUUCUAAAAACAGAACAGAGGAUUACAGUGUCAUUCUGCGCUGUCUCACACAACUUUAAGUAUCUCAUUAUCGGAAAUCCCUUUGCUUACACGGUUUCUUUUAUAAGAAACUAGACUCAUUAAGCUUUAAUUUCAUGUCUCAUUCAACCUCUAAUUCAAA
rnacentral:lncRNA from 1 species